rnacentral:misc_RNA from 1 species
CCUCACCCCCCCCUCUUGUGCCCACAGCACUAGGCGGGGAGGUGGAUGUGGGCCGACCUCUCGCUAGUCGCGGGGCGGCCUGAAAGUCAAGAUUGGCAUCGCCGCGGGUCCAACCUCCGCAGCGCCGCACAACAAGACGUGCCAGUGAGAAGUCUCUCAUUUAGCGUCGGACCGUGCGGCUUGCGGACCAAGGGUUAGAACCAUCGCUCAGUCUCUGAGUGAGGCAUUGUCGACUCCCUCGUCGCCAGGCGAUACGCCUCACCGCGUGUCGCAUACCUGAAC